rnacentral:tRNA from 1 species
AUUUAAAUAGUUUAUUUAAAAUUUCAAUUUGUGGAGUUGAAGAUAUGAUUAAUCAUUUUAGAUA